ensembl:lncRNA
GCGUAGGGAGGUGGUUGGGGGCUCGUUGGAAAGUGGGUUCCAGGGGUUAGGUAUAGGGUUAGGUGUAUGUCGUAUCCCAUAGAUUCCCCCACGUCGAUCAGGACACAUCAUCAGUCGUGGACCCCGGGAUCAUCGAGUGUUUCGGCCAUUAUCACGAGACACUGUCACCUGAGGGAGGCCCCCCCGAGGUCGAUCAACUCUCGGGUCAUGUCCCAUAACCCAUGAAGAACCUUUUCCUUAUAUAUAAGGUUUCCAUGGCUGGUUUAUACGCAUAGCUGCAGCUGCGUUUACACCAAACGCGAAGGGGCGACACGACAAGAUUUGAUUUGCAGCGCGACACUUUCGCCCUGCGUGGGCGGGCGUGUUCACGAGGAUUUGCAGCGCGGCAAUUUCGCUCAAAUUGAAAUAUUUCAACUUUGCCGCGACAUUCGCGUGAUGACAGUGUUCAACCGCGUGGCCAAUGAGUGACGUAACGUAACAGCCAAUCAGCGUUCAACCCGCCAACCUUUCCCUGCAGUGCAGUCUGGGGUGAACCGCAGCUUCGAG